GAGCGCACAUAAUUUUGCGCGCGAUGAACUGGCUUGCGUGGUCUUCCUGCACUGCAGUAAAUGCGGUAAUACCAGCCAUUCCAGUGGAGAAUGCUAACAUGUUAAACGAGAAGUUGCACUUUUCUUUUACAUCAAAUCUGGUCACACUCAAUAUCUCAAGCAUUAAUCUGUGAUCAUCACCAACCAGGAGAACCCAAACAGCAGCAUCUGGAUUCAGAUUAGGAUUCCCUUCCGGUCAAUCAAAAUCCUGUUGAAAGAAGGCAUCAACAAACAAACAGAGACUAAAACAAAUUAAAGGUAGGUCUUAAUUUUUUUUCGUCUCUUCAUCUGAUCUUUCACAGUGAUACAUAGCUUGCGUUUGAGAGCAUUGAAACUUUUAUUUUGUAAGCCAAAACUUUAACAAUGAAGACUUUGGAUGGUGGUUAUACAAGUUGCAGGGGCCAGGGAAAAUACUCAAAUUUCUUUGUUUCACUAGGCUUAAAUUGUUCCCCUGACAUCAGACCGUACUACUUCACGGCAACGCAGUCAGUUAAUGUUACCCACCCCUUGCCAAAGAUUAUGUUCAAAAAGGGGCACUUCAGAUUGGUGUAUAUAAGAAAUACAAGAGU